rnacentral:tRNA from 1 species
GGCGGAAUUGGCAGACGCGCUGGAUUUAGGUUCCAGUGGGGUAACCCGUGAGAGUUCGAGUCUCUCC